GUUGUGGCUCAGUGGCAGAGCAUCUGCCUGGCAUGCAGAAAGUCCCAGGUUCAAUCCAUAGCAUAUCUC
rnacentral:tRNA from 1 species